CGGUCCAGACUCCUACGGGAGGCAGCAGUGGGGAAUAUUGCACAAUGGGCGCAAGCCUGAUGCAGCCAUGCCGCGUGUAUGAAGAAGGCCUUCGGGUUGUAAAGUACUUUCAGCGGGGAGGAAGGUGUUGAGGUUAAUAACCUCAGCAAUUGACGUUACCCGCAGAAGAAGCACCGGCUAACUCCGUGCCAGCAGCCGCGGUAAUACGGAGGGUGCAAGCGUUAAUCGGAAUUACUGGGCGUAAAGCGCACGCAGGCGGUCUGUCAAGUCGGAUG
rnacentral:rRNA from 1 species